UCCAAGUUGACAAUGGCGGUAUCUCGAACCUUCGUAUUUGAUGUUAUCCUUCCCUCAAGGUUUUGAGCAGCAGACUCAAAUUUCCAAAACUUAAUCUUCAAUAUAGUCAAAACUCUCCCGAAAGUAAGUCAUUCUCAUGAUGACGUGAAGUGACCUCCGAACGUAGUGCAACAACACAAUAACUAGAAGUAAGGAGAUCCAGCCUAGCACGAAAAAGAGACAUGUCAAAGCCAACAAAGAAAAAGUCAUCAACCUUACAACUUAACCUAUCCAAGUUCUUUGCUAGCAAAGAACAAGGAGAAAGACUGUGCAUCUCAAGAACAAAGCUCGUGAGUCGAUCUAGUUGAUCAUUGAUCAAGAAUAUGUGGGAACCGAACUACGAGACACUCGAGACUUUCCUGGCUGGAGGAAGAGGCACUUCCACCCAAGAUGGUGGUCCACCGAAAAUGGUGGUUGAAAUCCUCAGCAAUAUCCAUUGCCAAGAAAUUGGAUGACCAAAGGAGGAGACACAAGAAUUGAUAUUAAAAAUCCAUCCAAAAUGGUGGUCCACUGGUCAAGUCCUCGUAGAGUACACUCGCCAAAAGUUGGACGACCCAAGUAGUGAGGCACCCAAUUUCAAGUCCUCAUAGAUUACACUUGUCAAGAAAUUGGAUGACCAAGUGACGGGUCAACUUAAGCACUUAUGAAAUCCUAUAUGCCAAAAUUGGUACGACUAAGGGAUAAGGUACAAGUGUUAGGCGUUAUCACUAAAAGCAAAAUGGAGGCACUUGAUCAUAAGUCCUCAACUGAGUGUUAUAUUUUAUCAUCAAACGUGAAUGAGGCACCCGAUUCUAAGUCUUCGAACCCGAUAAGUUACACUUUAUCUCUAAAAGUGACGAACGUUAUGCUUUUUCGUUAAAAUAAUUAUCCUUUAUUCAGAUUUAGAUCAAGUCUUUUUCUUUUGAUUCAGAAAAUUGAAACGUUAUGCUUUUUCGUUAAUAGCAAGAUGAUUGUCAAAAAAAUUCAAACUUUUACUUAUACUUAGACAAAAAAAAUUCAAAAGUAUGAAUUCAAAUGCAAGUUCAUUGGAGAUCGAAAAGUAUUUCUUGAUUAAAGAAUUUAUUCAUGGUUUCUUUACUUUAUUGUCUUGGAGUUAUAAUUUAAAUGAUUUAUGGCUCAAAUAUUCAAUAUUUUGUUAUAAAUGAAAAUUUCAAGUUAAAUACAAUUUAUAAUGAUGCAUAAUUGACAAAAAAUAAAGAAACUUUAUUCUGAUAACUAAAAUAUUACAUGAAAAUGAGUUUCUGGAAUAGGAAAUGAAAGACUACAAAAGGUCAUGAUCUAAAAGCCAUGACAUAUUAAACUGAAGAGGAGGCAUAGCUAAAGCCUCCAAGUUGACAAUGGCGGUAUCUCGAACCUUCGUAUUUGAUGUUAUCCUUCCCUCAAGGUUUUGAGCAGCAGACUCAAAUUCCCAAAACUUAAUCUUCAAUAUAGUCAAAACUCUCCCGAAAGUAAGUCAUUCUCAUGAUGACGUGAAGUGACCUCCGAACGUAGUGCAACAACACAAUAACUAGAAGUAAGGAGAUCCAGCCUAGCACGAAAAAGAGACGUGUCAAAGCCAACAAAGAAAAAGUCAUCAACCUUACAACUUAACCUAUC
rnacentral:lncRNA from 1 species